UAAAGAUAAAAGAAGGCAACACGAUGAAGUUAUGUCAUCGAUAAGGAAGCAGAAAGAAGGAAUGAAAAGGAACAGGCUAGCAGAACGGAGACCGGGACGGGAACAGGCACACUGAUUGCCUCAUGAAGGCCAAGCUCAGCAAACCGCCCAAAGAAGCUCGUACAGCAAGGCGCUGGAAAUGGGCACAGUGGAGCUGGAGAGAAGCUGGAGCUGAGAGAAGCGGAGCCGCACACACAGCUGCCCCUCGCUGGCAGGUCCCUUGAAUGUGGUUUUUCUCAUCCUGAAGUUGUCCUGACAUCUGCUUACGCCAGGUCUGGAUAAUCCCCUUUGCCUUCCUCCUGGGCAGGAGGAUGGACUUCGAUUUGCUGUACUGGAGCAGAACAGAGCCAUGCAUACCACUGCGCACCCAUCGGUGUUGCCUGGGCUGGGAAGGUGCAUGGUCCUUGAUCCCAGUGAUACUGGGAAGCCUCAGCUCAAGUGAAUUCACAAGGUCAUCACAUCUACUUGGCAGUCCUGCUUGGCAAAAUUCUGCUUUCCUGACUCAGGAAGCAGCUCUCCUAUCCCAUAAAGAGAAAUAUUUCAGUUAUCACCUCAUGAGCUGCCUGUGACCAUGGAACAUGCGUUUGGCUAUCCAAAGGAGAGAUGGCAGGAUAAAACUGAAGGUUGAUGUGUAUUUCCUUCUUGGCUUGUUCUGAUUGGAUGUUUCAUUCUGUAACUGGAAUAGAAGAAAUAAGCCUCUUUUCAUUUCCAUUUUCUAAAGUCAUUGUUUUUACUUCUUAUGCUGCUGUGGUUCUAUACUCUCUCCUCAAUUUAUGCAUACUGUCAGCUCCAUAGCAGAGUGAGCACCCCUCAACCCAUUUUAAAAGAAUUAAGUUACUGCAAGCUAAGCCAUUUUUAUACAUACCUAUGUGCUAUGUAUAUAUAUGCAUAAAAAUAUUUUUCAGCCCAAACAGUUUGCUCAUCUGGCCAAUUGCACGGCCGCAUGUGUGUGGCUCCAGGCACAGGCAGCACAGCUGACAAGUCAGCUCUCCCUUAGCAGAACUAGGUGCAACCUUAUAUGGCAGCAGCUGGGGGACAAGCUUGUCUGGGACACAACUGUCCCCUCAGCUCGAACUGCAAAGAAGAGCUGGGCUGGCAGCCCCUCUCUGGGGUUCACGUCCCCACCCCUCUUUUGGCCCAGUGCUCCCCUGCCUCGGUAAGGAGUAAGCCCGGGGUAAUGAACAAGCAGGAAACUAUUUGCCAGGGUUGGGGAUUGCUUUGUUGCUUACUGCUAUGAAGAUGUUCACUAACAUCAGAGGAGCCUGAGCAUGCUGGGAGGGAAGGGGCAGGGCUGCCCCUCUGGAUGGCAGCCAGCCCCUAGCUCAGUUCAGCUGCUUUGUAAAAUUCACACCAGUUGCAAAAGGUAGGGCAGGGGUCUGCUCAGCAGGCUGUGCCACUGUGUCAUGUUCCCCCCAACCCCACCUUUAAAUUUAGCUAUCUGGUAACUACAUCUGUGCUAUGAUAGCAUCAGAUUAUACUAUUUUAAUUACGUUAAUCUUGUUGAAAUAUAACACUUGUGUUGGCAAGAGCAUUUCCCCCCCUAUUUUGUUAAUAUAAGAAAUUUAAUGCUUUACUGAGGCACAAUCUGGCUUACAUUAUGCUUUUGCAGCCUGAUGAUGUUGAGAGUGAGCAUGCUGUUGUUUUGUUUUUCCACUGAUCUUUAACUAAUGUUUUUAUCUCACCACAAGAGCAUAUAGCACUAAAAUUAAAAAAAAAAAAGUUAGAAAAGUUUAUCUGCUUGGCAGCUCUAGAUUUUAGGGAUGGAUGCAGGUAGAAAUAUCAGUGCCUCUCUGAUGACUAUCAAAACAGAAAAUGAAAGUCUUAUGUAAUGAAAAUUGAUUUUGAUCCUGUUUAUGUAUCUUUUUUCAGGUGAAUGCAGAUAAGCAAUGCUGUUUUAGAACAUAAUCAGGGCUUUCAGGGUAAGAUAACUUGGCACAAAUGUGGAAAGAUCAAAAUAUAUGCAAGAAAGUAGAUAUUAUGCUUGGAUUAACCAAAAAAAUUAUACUUAGGUUAAGCCUUUUACCUAAGCAUAUCAAAUCUAACAAAUAUAACAGCACCACUGUUUUAUAAACAGUAGAAAAAUAAAGUAGGGAAUUUAUGACUUGAUUAGUACAUCAGCCUAGGAAUGCUUUUUUUAAACAAACAAACAAACUCGGUUGUCUUGGAUUGGCAGCAGCAACAGAAAGGGUUGCUGCCUUAUCUUCAGCCCCUGCAGCUGAAUUUAUGGGAUCCUGUCAUUCUGCACCAUUCAAAAGCAUUUUGUCUCCAUCUUCAUCAGAUGCUAUUAAAAAAAGAAAAGAAGUGAGGGACUUUCCAUCUGAGUGGGACUUGGCAGGUCUGCUGAAAGAUUGUGAGAAGGCCCAUACUGCAUUCCAGGUGGUGGAGCGCAGAAGGAAUGCUGUACUAAUUCUCCCUCUGGCCAGACUGAUGUCCAGAACAGAUUUUUCAUUGCAGAUGAAACAGCAAUAUUCUGCCAUGUAACUGUGUCCUGAGGGGCUAUUAAAUUUAUUUAUUUUUUUAAACUUCAGUUUGGAGUUAAGAGGUAAGCCUUUUCUAUACUGCUACAAAAUUUAACCAUAUAAGAGCUGGAGAUUCUGCUCUUGCAGACGUUUUUAUGGUAUACAGAGAAGCAGACAAAAACUUGACAUAAAAAUGUGGUGCCACAGGCUUCAAGAAGUUAUGAUAUAACCCACCAUAAAGUGAAGUAUUUGAGGCUGCAAUUGGUUUUGCAACUAGGCAGAGCACAGCUGAAGUGAAUGAAUAAGGUUGCUGCUUAGACUUUAACUCUGAAAUGCUGACUAUGGAUUAUUAUAAGUUUCUAAAUCUGCAGUAGCUGCUUUCAGACCUGUACUUAGAAAGCAAGCAAAGGAAUGCAUCAUGCCAUUGUAUGACUGAAUUAUCAGGAAUUUGGGAACCAGAGCUUCUUUUAGAUCAGGCAAUUUACCAAGACUUCAAAUCUUGGCAGCUGUUGGUUUUCUGGAAGAAGCUAGUUAUAUGAACACAGCAAUAGAGUGAUAGUGCAGAGGGAGGAUUAAACCUCACAGAUGCCAACACUUGAGUAAUUAGCUCGUAUUUUUAUGUACUAGCCUCCAGAAAAAAAUGGGAGAAAAGAUUGGUCAGGACUACUGCAUACUUUCACAAGAUUCCCAUUAUCUAGAACAAUGAUGAGCUAUGGUUCCUAGCUAUUCUCUAGCACUAAAGUAAUGCUAUAUGUGUCUGUAAGCCUUUGAUAUAGCAAAGACAGCAUUGUUAGUAAGAACACAAUAAUUCACAUUUGAGCAUCCUCAGUAAGGCCAUAUCAAGGCAUAUAUUUACUUUUUCUCCUUAGGACCUUACUCACUGUCUUUAGAUAUAAAAACAAUACCAGUAUAUCCAAGAUAAAUACCAGAUACAUGCUCAUAUAUCUUACAGAAAAAAAAAACAAAAACAAAACACACCUUUUUCCUCUUUAACUAGUAUAACAUCAAAGGUGCUGUAAAUAACAUAAAAAUAAUAUAUUUUAAACUCACUAUUUCAGCUGUGACAUACCCCUACCUGUUAAAAACUUCCUUUCUUCCACUGUAUAUAUAUGUGAACUGAGGGACUUCUUAUUCAGCCUUUUCUAGCAAACAGAGGUUUCAGCUGUGGUAGGGUAUGAACUGCAAAUUAGGAAUAAUAAUCUUAUAUUAAAAUUAUGAGAACAUUUAACAGCUUCUAAGUGCUUCCAAGUGCUUUGAAUUGUGCUGUAUAUAGCACCUGAAGAUCGGUCCCCCUACCAAGGACCAGGUGUACAGAUCCUGACAAGAUCCUGAUGUUUUACAAGUAAUUUCAGAAAGGUUAUACAUCUGGAAUAAAAUUUUAAAUGAAUCAAGUAUUAAGGACUCUUUUAAGUUGAAACUUUUUUCCCAUGCAUCUCAUUUGUAUUUUAUUAGAUGCAGAGGUAACAGAUUUUUAUUUUUAUUUUUUUAAGUCUUUAGUACUUUGACUGAUAGCGUUAGGGAAAGAACAGAGAGAAAUUGUUGAAUGUUACUUUAUAGAAGGUAAAAAAAUAUUCUAAUGUUUUUCCAGUUUAAAUGUGGCUUAGUUCAGAGACUGUGAUACAAAUGGAUCAUUACUAACCCACAGAGCAAUUGGUAUUUAAUGUGUGUGGUACAGACGGGCUUUAGAGACUUCCAGUAUAAAAUAGAACUGCAGUAAUCCAAGGAUAUUCUAUCUUCAAAAGUUACAAGCAGUGGAUUGUUAAAAAUUAAGGAAGUAAGAAUGAAGUAACAUGAAUAACUGAUCAGGAUUAGAGGAGCAAAUGUGAUGUUUUUUAUAUGUAUCGAUGAUCUAAGUUAGAUCAGUAAUGUCUGUGACGGUGAAUACACUGAAAAUAAUAUUUUCAGUGUGACAUCUACCAAUAUCCUGACAACCACAAGGAGAUGAGGGAGUACAGGACAUUUUUUUUUUCCCAGGAUUUCCUGAUCGUUCUUGGAAAGUUACAGUUGUGUAAAGAAGAUGGGAAUGGUAAAGUGCUUGUACUAGAAAAAAGUGUUUGUGUGAAAACCAAUAGCAGUGUUUUCUACAUCCAGAAAUAUUCAUAUAUAUUCCUCUGUAUGGUUGAUAUACAAGGAUGAAAAAAUAUUCAUAUUUUUGUCUGUCUACAAAAAUAUCGAGAGGUGUCUAUUUGAAAAUACUUUCAGUGCUAUUUUGAUUUUUUUAGUAUAAAGACAGAAUAAUGUCUCUCAUUUUAUGAUAAUUAUUACCUAGAUAUAAGACAAUACAAAAUACUUUAUAUCACAAAAUCACUUACCUAUUUUUUAAAUUUUGAAAGUGAAGAUUCCUUUCUGAGUCAAGCCACAACAAAUGUAAUGUAAGUGAAUCAUCUCACUGAUUGUUAUGUUUAUGUAAAAAUAGAUGUAUCAUAUUUAUCUUGUUUUAAGAUAGCAAGAGCCCAGGUGAGCUUUCUCGCUGUUCCCAUGCUUAAAUACUACAGAGAAAAGGGCUUGGGAUCUAAUUUUCCAUCCUUACUGAAUUGUGGUCAUGACAACCAUCUGUACAAGGAUAAGCUUUACAGUAUUGUCUUGUUCAAGGGUAUCAUUUUGAUGUUACGCUGUGUGAUACAAUAAGCUAAUGGAAAAUAAUACCAUACAGCAGUUGGUGCUGUUAUCAGCAUAUACUGCUGACUUACACUUUUUUGUGUGUAUGUUUUUGUUUUGUUUAAUAUUAAUAUGGCUAUUGUGACAAGGAAAGUAUGGAAACGAUACCAGCUUUGAAAAAAAAUAAGUUAACAUUCAAGAGAAAGACCACUGGCUAAGGGAAAUGCCAAGCAUGUUCAACUCUUCAAAUGUGCCCAGCUUUCCUAGGUAAAAUAACAUUUGUUUUGAAUACAAGAUCUAUUUUUUCUCUACUGUGCCAUCCAUUGAGGCAAGAAAUGCUUUUCAAAAGCAAAGACUUUGCUUUUGCUUGACUUUACGGUAAGAGCUUGCCUAGCAAUAUGUGCACAAAAAUAAACAAAUGUAAAGUCAGUGCCAGGUCAUUAUUCCUGAGCUCCCUUCUGAAACAGAGCUAUUUGUGAAAUUAGGUGGAAUAAACCCGAACUUACCUGUUAUUAAACAGAAUCUAAUGGA